rnacentral:rRNA from 1 species
GGAGGGUGCGAGCGUUGUCCGGAAUCAUUGGGCGUAAAGGGCGCGUAGGUGGCCCGGUCAGUUCGUGGUGAAAGCGCGGGGCUCAACCCUGCGUCGGCCAUGAAUACUGCUGCGGCUGGAGCACUGUAGAGGCAGGCGGAAUUCCGGGUGUAGCGGUGGAAUGCGUAGAGAUCCGGAAGAACACCGGUGGCGAAGGCGGCCUGCUGGGCAGUUGCUGACACUGAGGCGCGACAGCGUGGGGAGCAAACAGGAUUAGAUACCCUGGUAGUCCACGCCGUAAGCGAUGGGCACUAGGCGCUUGGGGGAGCGACCCCCCGAGGGCCGGCGCUAACGCAUUAAGUGCCCCGCCUGGGGAGUACGGCCGCAAGGCUG